rnacentral:lncRNA from 1 species
CUGAGGACCUCCUCUGGUCUCCGUGCCACUCGCCAGACUGGCGUGGGUGACCGACAAUCAGCCCGUGGCAACACCCAUUGGCUGACACCUGGACGCGGCGCCUUUACUGGACGGAACCGCAGCCCCUGGCACCGACAUGCCGCCGCCUGGCAAGUGCUUGCCUCCCUACCCUCCUGGACGAGACCAGCAAAGCCCUUGGGUGGCCAGCACGGUAGCUCAGCAUCAGAGCUCACCUGCUGGCACCACUCCUCCCAGUGUCUUCAUUCAUUCAGCCCAGGGACCUCGAGGACAGUAUGCCAAUCAGGAAGGCAGAGCAGCGAUACGCACCCUGGAGGCCUGGGUAAGGCCUGUCCUCCCGCAGUGGGUGGAGGUGAGCCGGGAGAGUCCAGGCGACUCCAGGGGAGUUUGCAGUCCGAGGGCUGGCCGUGCCGGGGUGUCCGUGAAGGUGGGUACUGGCAGUGUGGGGGUGUCCUAUGGAGGUGGGGUUCUGCCUGUGUUGGGGUGUCCGUGAAGGCGGGGUACUGGCCGUGCUGGGGUGUUUGUGAAAGUGGGUACUGGCAAUGUGGGGGUGUCCUGAAGGCGGGGUACUGGCCGUGCUGGGGUGUCCUGAAGGUGGGGUACUGGCCGUGCUGGGGUGUUUGUGAAAGUGGGUACUGGCAAUGUGGGGGUGUCCUGAAGGCGGGGUACUGGCCGUGCUGGGGUGUCCGUGAAGGUGGGUACUGGCAGUGUAGAGGUGUCCUGAAGGUGGGUACUGGCCAUGCUGGGGUGUCCGUGAAGCUGAGUAUUGGGAGUGUUGGGGUGUCCGUGAAGGUGGGGUUCUGCCUAUGUUGGGGUGUCCUGAAGGUGGGGUACUGGCCGUGCUGGGGUGUCCGUGAAGGCGGGUACUGGCAGUGUUGGGGUGUCCGUGAAAGUGGGUACUGGCAGUGUUGGGGUGUCCUGAAGGUGGGGUACUGGCCGUGCUGGGGUGUCCUGAAGGUGGGGUACUGGCCGUGCUGGGGUGUCCGUGAAGGCGGGUACUGGCAGUGUUGGGGUGUCCGUGAAAGUGGGGUACUGGGCAGUGUUGGGGGUGUCCUGAAGGUGGGGUACUGGCCGUGCUGGGGUGUCCUGAAGGUGGGGUACUGGCCGUGCUGGGGGUGUCCUGAAGGUGGGGUACUGGCCGUGCUGGGGGUGUCCUGAAGGUGGGGUUCUGUCUAUGUUGGGGUGUCCUGAAGGUGGGGUACUGGCCGUGCUGGGGUGUCCUGAAGGUGGGGUACUGGCCGUGCUGGGGUGUCCUGAAGGUGGGGUUCUGCCUAUGUUGGGGUGUCCUGAAGGUGGGGUACUGGCCGUGCUGGGUGUCCGUGA